rnacentral:rRNA from 1 species
CAAGGAUUCCCCUAGUAACGGCGAGUGAAGCGGGAAGAGCACAAAUUUUAAAUCUACCUGGUUUUYCAGGUCGAGUUGUAAUUUGAAGAAACGUUUUUUACGUUCCGGGUUGGAUUAAAUCCUUUGGGAUAAGGUAUCAUGGAGGGUGAGAAUCCCGUGUAUACCAACCACUGGAAUGUUAUUAAUACGAUUUCUAAGAGUCGAGUUGUUUGGGAAUGCAGCUCUAAAUGGGUGGUAAAUUUCACCUAAUGCUAAAUAUAAGCGAGAGACCGAUAGUGAACAAGUACCGUGAGGGAAAGAUGAAAAGAACUUUGAAAAGAGAGUUAAAUAGUACGUGAAAUUGUUGAAAGGGAAACGGUUGAAGUCAGUCAUGCCGGCGGGAAUCAACUUAGGGGAAACUCUAGGUGCACUUCUUCGCUUGGCAGGUUAGCGUCGAUUUUGGAURUCAUAAAAUGACUGGGGGAAGGUAGCUCCUUCGGGAGUGUUAAGCCCUUGGUAGAUGUGAUGUUCAGGAUCGAGGAUUGCAACGGAUACCCUUUGGGCUAGCCACCUGGUCUCUAAUACGAAGUUGGGUUAUGGAUAGCAUGCUAAUCAUGAUCUGAUUUUCGGUUAAAAGAUUAGAGUGAGUGUAAAUUCGUUAAGGACGCUGACG